UACAGCGGUCCCAAGCGUUAUCCGGAAUUAUUGGGCGUAAAGAGCUCGUAGGCGGUUUGCCGCGUCUGCCGUGAAAGUCCGGGGCUCAACUCCGGAUCUGCGGUGGGUACGGGCAGACUAGAGUGAUGUAGGGGAGACUGGAAUUCCUGGUGUAGCGGUGAAAUGCGCAGAUAUCUGGAGGAACACCGGUGGCGAAGGCGGCAGCCUGGACCAACACUGACGCUGAGGAGCGAAAGCCAGGGGAGCAAACGGG
rnacentral:rRNA from 1 species